AUAAAUUACCGAUGGCAAAAGGGAAUGGAGGGACGAAGAAGAAAGCAUAAAGCAGAUGCAUCUUCAAACAAAAGAAGAUAUGCUGAGGAUUGUAACACUCACGAUGGGAGGUCAUAAAUGUGAACAGUAUUGUCGUUACACAAACACAUCAGGACAAGGGUUUCGCUUGUGCAUCAUGCACUCCACAGAGGGUGAGCACACCCUGUUCUACACUGUAUGUG